CUGCCAGUAGUGUAUGCUUCUCCUAAAGACUAAGCCAUGCAUGCCCUGAAUAAGAGGAAGCAAUUCUCUCUGAAUCUGCGAACGGCUCCGCAAACCAGUUGUAAACUAGAGCAAGCAAGUCUGGCGGGCUUCGGCCUCCGGACGAUAUGGAUAACCCUGGUAAUUCUGAGGCUAAUACAUGACCGCAAAACCGGGCAGCCCAGCAAUGGAUGCUCGGGGAUGUGCGAUAUGGCUUGACGAUAACCGGGAAAGGACGCACAUUCAGACCGCGCUAAAAAGGAUCGGGACUCCCCUCGGGGAACCUGGCCCCAGCGGCUCUUGCUGUGUGCUUCUGACCUAUCAACUAGACGGCAGCGUAAUGGACAUGCUAUGGUGACAACGGGUACAGAGGAUUAGGGUUCGAUCCUGGAGAGUGGGCCUGAGAGAUUGCUCAUACUUCUAAGGAAGGCAGCAGGCGCGCAACGUUCCCCUUGGGCAAUGCUCGAGGGCGUUAGGGGACAUAUGAAUGCCCGCCCAAUGGGUGGGCAAUUCAAAUGGGUCUGUUGUAAACAGGCUCUCGAGUAACAAUUAGAGGACAAGUCUGGUGCCAGCACCCGCGGUAAUUCCAGCUCUAAUAGCAUACGUUAAAGUUGUUGCGGUUAAAACGCUCGUAGUCGGCUUCAGAUCGUCACGAGCCCAGAACGGGCUGGCUGGUUGUCGCCUCAGGCGCGCCGGUUGGUCUGUGACGGGCGACGGCGGUCAAACGCGCCUCAGGCUGUCCUUACGGUCACAGGGCUGGGUUCUCCCGGUCCGGCUUGGGGUGCCAAUUACCAUGACUAAACCGGACCGAUCAAGAGAGGUCUCGCGAUCUUGUACGGCACAGCAUGGGAUAACUUUCACUGUUUCGGGGCUACUUGCGGGCCCCGGGGCGGUAGAAGCAAAAGGGGUGUUCGAGGGGGACCGAAUUGCCGGGCGAGUGGUGAAAUACGUUGACCCUGGCAAGUCGACCAAAGGCGAAAGCAGUCCUCAAGGGCAUUCCCGUUGAUCAAGAGCGAAAGUUAAGGGUUCGAAGACGAUCAGAUACCGUCGUAGUCUUAACUAUAAAUGAUACUGACCAGAGAUAGGAUUCUGUCCAUCUCGACUUCUCCUGGAUCUUAGGGAAACUAUAGUCUUUGAGUUCUGGGGGGAGUAUGGUCGCAAGGCUGAAACUUAAAGGAAUUGACGGAAGGGCACCA
rnacentral:rRNA from 1 species